CCUACGGGAGGCAGCAGUGGGGGAUAUUGCACAAUGGGGGAAACCCUGAUGCAGCGACGCCGCGUGGGUGAAGAAGCGCCUAGGCGCGUACAGCCCUGUCAGCAGGGAAGCAAAUGACGGUACCUGAAGAAGAAGCCCCGGCUAACUACGUGCAAGCAGCCGCGGUAAUACGGGGGAUGCAAGCGUUAUACGGAUUUAUUGGGUUAAAUGGGUGCGUAGGCGGAUUUUUAAGUCAGCGGUAAAAUGGCCGGGCUCAACCCGGGCCGGCCGUUGAAACUGUGGAUCUUGAGUGGGCGAGAAGUAUGCGGAAUGCGUGGUGUAGCGGUGAAAUGCAUAGAUAUCACGCAGAACUCCGAUUGCGAAGGCAGCAUACCGGCGCCCAACUGACGCUGAGGCACGAAAGCGUGGGGAUCGAACAGGAUUAGAUACCCUAGUAGUU
rnacentral:rRNA from 1 species